rnacentral:rRNA from 1 species
UUUAGUGGCGGACGGGUGAGUAACGCGUGGGUAACCUGCCUUAUACAGGGGGAUAACAGUUAGAAAUGACUGCUAAUACCGCAUAAGCGCACAGUACCGCAUGGUAGUGUGUGAAAAACUCCGGUGGUAUAAGAUGGACCCGCGUCUGAUUAGCCAGUUGGCGGGGUAACGGCCCACCAAAGCGACGAUCAGUAGCCGACCUGAGAGGGUGACCGGCCACAUUGGGACUGAGACACGGCCCAAACUCCUACGGAAGGCAGCAG